rnacentral:lncRNA from 1 species
CAAAUAAGCAUUUUCUUGGUUUUCGCACCAUAACUUUAGUUUAAGUAAAUAGAAAUCUAUGAAAUUUUGACACAAGGUUUAUGACCACAAAGGAAGGUUGGGAUUGAUUUUGGGAGUUUUGGUUCCAACAGUUUAGGAAUUGGGGGCCAAAAUAAGCAUUAUUCUUGGUUUUCGCACAAUAACUUUAGUAUAAGUAAAUAGAAAUCAAUGAAAUGUAAACAAAAGGUUUAUGACCACAAAAGGAAGGUUAGGAUUGAUUUUAGGAGUUGAGGUCCCAACAGUUUAGGAAUUAGGGGCUCAAAUAAGCAUUAUUCUUGGUUUUUGCACCAUAACUUUAGUAUAAGUCAAUAGAAAUCUAUGAAAUUUAUACACAAGGUUUAUGACCAUAAAAGGAAGGUUGGGUUUGAUUUUGG